rnacentral:rRNA from 1 species
UACGGAGGGAGCUAGCGUUGUUCGGAAUUACUGGGCGUAAAGCGUGCGUAGGCGGUUAUUCAAGUCAGAGGUGAAAGCCCGGGGCUCAACCCCGGAACGGCCUUUGAAACUAGAUAGCUAGAAUCUUGGAGAGGUUAGUGGAAUUCCGAGUGUAGAGGUGAAAUUCGUAGAUAUUCGGAAGAACACCAGUGGCGAAGGCGACUAACUGGACAAGCAUUGACGCUGAGGCACGAAAGCGUGGGGAGCAAACAGG